rnacentral:lncRNA from 10 species
CUCCCCCCCAACCUCCACCUCCUGACUGACCCCAGUGCUUCCCAAUGUGGCCCUACAUGCCUCCUAUGUCUAGGGGUCUUGCCCAGCAGGCACCGUGGAGAUGGGGGCAGAUGUCUGGAAGCAGAGAAGGUGCCGAGUGGAAAGCAGGGGAUGAAGGCUACUUUCCUCCUGGGCAGCCGCCGGCGGGACCAGGCAGGCUUUUCUCUCUCGCCCAGGGUGCGGUGUAGAGCCUCCACUGGACUCCACCACGGGGAGGAAGACCGAGGCUACCCAGCCUCCUGGCUGCUGGCCAUGGCUCUAGCCCACCCUUGCCUGUGUGUCAAGAGAGAAUCCAAAACAAUGUUCCUUUUGCUGUAAAGGGCAUGAUUAGGACAAUUGGCAAAAUAGUCUAC